UUGGAAGGAAAGCUGAAUGGCCAACAAGCAGCCAAGAAGUGGGAGAAUCUGAAGAGAAAAUAUAAGGACCUAAAAACACCUAAAACUGGUUCAGGGACAGAUGCAGGAGAGGCAACAGCUGCUACGUGGCAGUACUAUGAGGAUAUGCACGAGGUGCUGGGUGCCAGGCCUUCAGUGGACCUGUGGUUGUUGCAUCAUUCAAUGAUGAGGAUCCAGUAACAAUCCUCAUGGAGAUUGUUGAGCCCAGUACUGCAUCCAACACCAUAGGAGCCUCCUCACCUUUGCCAAAUACAGGAGCCACAGCCUCUCCCA